AUCCCUUUGAUCCACUGGGUCAGACAUGGUUGCUGAUCCGUGUUGGUCAAGACAUGGACCUUCAUCAUUGAUCGUCUUGAAUUCAGGCACGGGUUGUUCGUGAGAGUGGAAGCCAUUUCUAUUGAUCGACAACCUGUUCAUCUCAUCACUU
rnacentral:misc_RNA from 1 species